rnacentral:lncRNA from 9 species
CAGAGAGAUGACGGUAUAGCCAUGAUUUGCCACUGAGAGGAUGGAGUCAGCCCAGGGAGAUAUUUCUAAACUGCGGAAAUCGGUCAGAUUAGAGAGGGGGGUUUGUAAGUAAUUUAUAGCUGAGUAAGUGGGAUUCGCCAUGAGCCUACCUUGUGGGAAUCCUCUCAAACAUUCCCACUACGAGCUCAGAAAAGCCUCAUGGCAAGUCACAGGGCAGGAAAUUGCGGGGGAGGAGGGGUUGGGGGGGCGAGAAGGCAGAAACAGGAAGCAGGGAACAGGAAGGACAGGUGAAGAAAGAUGAGGUUUCCAUAAACAGGAAACAACCGUAUGGCCUCUUUACCUCUCACAUCUUAUGUGGACACAAACGGAGAACCCCACUUCCAACCAGGAGGGAGACCUGCCUUCUCGCACCAGGCUUAAUCAAUCCUGGUAGACAGAUACUCAACCAGGCUCCGGUGAGGUAAAUAAUCCUCCUUUGGGUCCGUCACUGAGGGGCAAGGUGGGGCUCCUAAGGGAGAGAAAGAGCAGGGUGCAUUGACAGUGAAUGAGCCGUGGAGAUAUUUUUAAAAGGCAGGGGGACACGGUUAAGACUAUGCACAAAGACUCAGCCACCAGGACGUGAUUCAAAGCACAGUUCAUGACCUAGAAACACUGAAGAUAGCCCCAGCACUUUCAUUUGGGGAUGAUUUGUGUUAUAAUCGGGGGGGGGGGGAAGCAAAUUACAAAACAAUAGGUCACUAUGAUGCCAUGCUUUAAAAUAAUUAUGCACAUAUAUGUAUACACCUGCACAGAUAUGUGACUGAACUGCAUGGAUAUUUUUUCAAAUAAAAAGGGAAGUGGUGGGACUAUAGAUGUUAAUUUUUCCUUUUAGCUCAUUUGUACUUGGCAGAUUUUUCAACAGUGAGCGCAUGUUCAUUAGCAAUAAUAUUGAGUGGGGUCACAAAUGGAUCUCACAGUCAUUGGAUACACAGACAAGAGGAAUGACUCCUCAUCACUGCACUGGCCAAGAGGUGGACACAUGAUCCAAGUCAUACCUACCAGGCCCUCUUGCCUUGAAAUUUGUACUUGGAGAGGAGAGACCCAACCCAAUAAUGUCGGAGUUGACCCAUCCUACAUACCAUGCUCUGAAAAAGAAAACCAGCUACCCAUGUCUACACAUCAAUCUAAAAGAUUUGAGAUCAUUCUGAAGGAAAGGAAGAGGCCAGGAGAAAAGAGGCUGACAACAAUGUUUUUGAGCCUACUGCUCCUUCCUCUCCCCACCAAGAAGACAGCUAUUUGGGAGGGGUCCUGAUAGCAGCAGCCUCAAGCAGAAGUGUAGGAAAAGUUUUAAAUCCUGUAAAUAUGCACUGAAUUAGAACCCCCCUGCCCUAAGUUCUGUGGCUUAUUCAUUUCCAAUAAUUACUGAACAUCAUCACAACAAGAAUGAAAAAAAAAUGACAAAAAGCUAUUUCCCAAUACAUCCAUAUUUUCAAAGGUUGUCCCAUAACACAGAAAAGACUAAGUUUGAACUUGACUUAAGGUCAGAAAAACCUAAGGAC